rnacentral:ncRNA from 1 species
CCGACAGCAAACUGCCAGACGCCCAAUCAGGAUAUGAAAAAGCUCUGACCAUCGCAAUGGCCGCGCAGGCUGGCGCCAAUAUCAU